CCACUUCUUGCUUAACUCUCACAAAGAAUCAGACAAGGAAAAUGCUAGUUUUCCUUCAACUGGUUUUCUUUUCAGCAGCUUUGGGAGGUGUCCAAUCGGAGGUCCAGCUGGUGGAGUCUGGGGGAGAUGUGAAAAGGCCUGGGGAGUCCCUCCACCUCUCCUGCCAAGCCUCUGGGUUCGACUUUGGGAAUGCUUACAUGAGCUGGGUGAGACAGGCUCCUGGGAAAGGCCUGGAAUGGGUGGCCUACAUAUAUCCUCAAUCUAAUCACAUUUACUACUUGGAUAAAGUGAAGGGAAGAUUCACCAUCUCCAGGGACAAUUCCAACAGCCUCCUCUAUCUGCAAAUGAACAACCUGAAACCCGAGGACACGGCUGUGUAUUACUGUGCAAGAGACACAGUGAGAGGAAGUGAAUCUGAGGCCAAGCAAAAACCCUCCUUUGCCCACAGCUGCUCUCUGAGUUGA